CAGCAAUUGUGGAGUGGAUCAUCUUGGGUGCGUUCAAGCUUCUGGCCGGGAACUUCGUGUCCGCGUUCUUGCCUCCCAGACGUGUGGAGGAUGCAAAGGGCAGCAUUGAGGUGGACUGGUGUCCUAAUCCCGCUGCCAAUCCGGAGGAUUACCGGCAGCUCAACGUGAAUGUGUAUCGGCCACCAGCAUUCGAGAAGGGAUACAAGCUGGCGGAGCUGGGAGCGCUGAAAUCAGGCAAGCUUGGACCAUACUAUGAUGGAGGCUUGCGCUGCCCCUUCCGGCAAAUGCACGCAUAGAAUAGGACAUUCGUUCGGAGAACAAAGCAUCAUUUAAAAAUGAUGAAUCUUUUUGUAAUUUGCAGAUAGCACAAAACCAUUAUUAAUAGUACGGGAUCCAAACAAUUUAGAAACACAGAGACAAAAAUAUUGCAGGUUGUAGUUAGAAGUCUAAGUUGACACGCUCGCUUACACCUAAGAGAACGAAAAGCUUGUCAAGCGGAAGGAAUAAAGAUCAAAAGCUUACCUCCACGAGAAAACCUCACGUUAAUCCAUGGGGCUAGCAUGCCCACCAUCAGGUGCGAACUACCAAACUUUCCUUCGAGUCCAGCGCCGCACUCACUGGCCAAUCAGGAUACCCGAGUACAACUUGAGCUCUCCCACUGAGAUGGCUGCAAAGCCGCUUUCAAAGCUCGGCAUCCCCCAUGCCUGUUCAAGGCAACAGACUUUAAACACACGACAAAAACUCACCUUGGAGCAACCGGCCAACAGGGUGCGACCCAUCCGGAAUCGUAAUGUCCUCCGAUAACAAGGAUGCUCUCCAGGCUGCAAACUUAUCCCGAACCUCCUGCGUGGUGAAGGCGCGUGUGAACUCUUCCGAGAUCGGCUCUGUGGGUGAGUCAGGGAACUAAUGCAGAGAAGCUUCAACCAGCUGGUUUCCCUUGACCUGCACAUAUCCAUCGAUCUCAGAAAUGGCAUAUCGCCAUUCCCUCAUGUCCAUGGCAUACACAAAACAAACAGAAAUUGAUUUCAAAACACGAAACUAGAAACUGGUACAUACAUGAAGAUAUGUUGGAGGUCUUGCUUGCUUCCCUAAGCUGGCAGUGAUCCACGUACAUGAAAAC
rnacentral:lncRNA from 1 species